UACAGAGGUCCCAAGCGUUGGUCGGAUUCACUGGGCGUAAAGGGUGCGUAGGCGGGCGGGUAAGUCUGGCGGGAAAUCUCCAAGCCUAACUUGGAAACUGCGUUGGAUACUAUCCGGCUCGAGGAAUGGAGGGGAGACUGGAAUACUUGGUGUAGCAGUGAAAUGCGUAGAUAUCAAGUGGAACACCAGUGGCGAAGGCGAGUCUCUGGACAUUUCCUGACGCUGAGGCACGAAAGCCAGGGGAGCAAACGGG
rnacentral:rRNA from 1 species